rnacentral:rRNA from 1 species
CCCAGACUCCUACGGGAGGCAGCAGUGGGGGAUAUUGCACAAUGGGGGGAACCCUGAUGCAGCGACGCCGCGUGGGUGAAGGAGUAUUUCGGUAUGUAAAGCCCUAUCGGCAGGGAAGAAGCAAGACGGUACCUGACUAAGAAGCCCCGGCUAACUACGUGCCAGCAGCCGCGGUAAUACGUAGGGGGCGAGCGUUAUCCGGAUUCACUGGGUGUAAAGGGAGCGUAGACGGCCAAGCAAGCCAGGGGUGAAAGCCCGGGGCCCAACCCCGGGACUGCCCUUGGAACUGCUUGGCUGGAGUGCGGGAGGGGCAGGCGGAAUUCCUGGUGUAGCGGUGAAAUGCGUAGAUAUUAGGAGGAACACCAGUGGCGAAGGCGGCCUGCUGGACGAUGACUGACGUUGAGGCUCGAAAGCGUGGGGAGCAAAUAGGAUUAGAUACCCCAGUAGAC